CAGUUACUGCUAUUUUGCUUAGUAGGGUAGAAUAGAGCACACCGUUUAUCUCGUACACAGAAAGCAGAACAUGUGUGCACCGCGCUCCUCUCCUCAGGCUGACGUAACGGCAGCGUGACGCAUAUCAGCACAUCGGACAGUGCAAUCAGAAAACCUGCCUGCCAAUUUAAAGAGGAGACAUACCGAGAGUACAGUCUCGGCAAGCCACGAGCAAGCUAGAUAAGUUACUACUAAAAGUCCCGAAGUGUUCAAAGUCGCGGAAGCCUGAGAAAACAACGAUUUACAGGAUUAGACCUGAUACAACGAGCGAGAGUAAACGAGAGGAAGAAGAAGCUCUGUAUGUCCCAUGCUCCUGGAAGAAGUUGCAUGUAGGCCAAAGAACCAGGAUCAGCUGUUCCUAAAGCAGUCCUUACCUGAAACAUUAGGAGGGAAACACACAACUGACCUAAGAUCAGCAUCUAGAGGAUAACUUUCUCCUAAUCCUGGUGUUUCCUGGCGACGGGAAUUGUUAUUGAUCUACUUCCUCGUUUAGCGAGAGGGGUAGAAGCCACAGCUAAUAGGCUACCAUGCAGCGCUUAAGGACUACAGUUGCUAGGCUAAGGCCUAUUACGGCCACCCAGACAGUCAAGAGCCAAUCACAGGCCAGGCCGAUGGCAGUGGGAGGGGCUUUGAGGACAUUUGAACCAAUCAGGAGUUACACUACGUCGGUGUCGGCCGAGCCUUUUCUGAAUGGGACCAGUUCUAAUUAUGUAGAAGAGAUGUACUAUGCAUGGCUGGAGAACCCUAGGAGUGUACACAAGUCGUGGGAUAUUAUCUUCCGGAAUGCCAACGCUGGGGUGUCACCAGGCGCAGCCUAUCAGAGCCCUCCUUCUCUGGGUGGUGCUGCUCUGGGAUUGGCCAACGCCCAGGCGAUGGUUGGAGCUCAACCUAACAUGGAGAAGUUAGUGGAGGACCAUCUGGCUGUACAGUCACUCGUACGAGCGUACCAGGUGCGGGGGCACCACAUAGCCAAGCUGGACCCUCUGGACAUCGGUGUGAUAGACUUUGAUGAGUCCCCAGUAAUGCUGGGCUUGAAGAAAGUUGGGUUUUAUGGUCUGGAUGAGUCUGACCUGGACAAGGUGUUCCGGCUCCCCACCACCACCUUCAUUGGGGGCAGCGAGAGCGUUCUGCCCCUCAGAGAGAUCAUAAGCCGCCUCGAGAUGGCAUACUGUCAGUCUAUUGGGGUAGAGUUCAUGUUCAUUAAUGACCUGGAGCAGUGCCAGUGGAUCAGACAGAAGUUUGAGAGGCCAGGUGUCAUGCAGUUUACCCUGGAGGAGAAGAGGACCUUGCUGACCAGAAUGGUUCGAUCCACCAAGUUCGAGGAGUUCCUCCAGAGGAAGUGGUCAUCAGAGAAGCGUUUUGGUCUGGAGGGCUGUGAGUCUCUCAUCCCGGCCCUGAAGACCAUCAUCGACAAGUCCAGCAUGAACGGAGUAGAGAGCAUCAUCAUGGGCAUGCCCCACAGGGGGAGGUUGAAUGUGUUGGCCAAUGUGAUCCAUAAGGAGCUGGAUCAGAUCUUCUGUCAGUUUGACUCCAACCUGGAAGCUGCUGAUGAGGGUUCUGGAGAUGUGAAGUACCAUUUGGGGAUGUGGCACCGUAGGAUCAACCGGGUCACUGAUAGGAACAUCACGCUGUCACUCAUGGCUAACCCCUCCCAUCUGGAGGCUGUGGACCCCGUGGUGCAGGGCAAGACCAAGGCUGAGCAGUUCUACUGUGGAGACACAGAGGGAAAAAGAGUGAUGUCCAUCCUGCUUCAUGGUGAUGCAGCGUUUGCAGGCCAGGGGGUUGUCUACGAGACCUUCCACCUCUCUGACCUGCCCUCCUACACCACCCACGGCACUGUCCAUGUGGUGGUCAACAACCAGGUAACACAUCCUACACCACCCACGGCACUGUCCAUGUGGUGGUCAACAACCAGGUAACACAUCCUGCAACACCAAACACACCACUGUCCAUGUGGUGGUCAACAACCAGGUAACACAUCCUGCAACACCAAACACACCACUGUCCAUGUGGUGGUCAACAACCAGGUAACACACCACUGUCCAUGUGGUGGUCAACAACCAGGUAACACAUCCUGCAACACCACCCACGGCACUGUCCAUGUGGUGGUCAACAACCAGGUAACACAUCCUGCAACACCAAACACACCACUGUCCAUGUGGUGGUCAACAACCAGGUAACACAUCCUGCAACACCAAACACACCACUGUCCAUGUGGUGGUCAACAACCAGGUAACACAUCCUGCAACACCAAACACACCACUGUCCAAGUUCUUCUGAUGAUCUUCAUUUGGUGUAUCGUGUCACUGACUCUUUGACAAAUCCUGAUUUUGUGGAGGUGAUGCUUGAAGUGGAGGGGGGUGUUUUACUGGAAAUUUGGGGUGUUUCUGUCAUGGAGAGGGGCUUACUUCCGUAAAUAGAGUUAGCUAGUGUACACAACAUUUGGUUCUGGGUUCUGAGAUUAACUACCAGGUAACAAACACACCUUAACUGCCCCAUGAAUGGCCUGUUGUUCUCUAUACCCUACACAAACACACACACAAAACCUCCUACAUCACUGUCACAUUCACAGAAGAACAACCCUGUUACACCCCCGCACCCACACACCCUCUAACCACCUGUCUCUUUUCCCUGUAGGUUGGUUUCACCACCGACCCCAGGGUGGCGAGGUCAUCAUCCUACCCUACAGACGUGGCCAAGGUGGUCAAUGCCCCCAUCUUCCACGUCAACGCUGAUGACCCCGAGGCCGUCAUGUACGUGUGUAACGUCGCCGCCGAGUGGAGAGCCACCUUUCACAAGGACGUGGUGGUAGACUUGGUGUGUUACAGGCGUAACGGCCACAAUGAGAUGGACGAGCCCUUGUUCACUCAGCCUCUGAUGUACAAGCAGAUCAAGAAGCAGAAAGGAGUCCUCCAGAAAUACUCUGAGAAACUCCUAGCAGAGGGAGCAGUCAGCAGACAGGACUAUGAGGAGGAGAUAGCCAAGUAUGACAAGAUCUGUGAGGAGGCUCACGCUCGCUCUAAAGACGAGAAGAUUCUACACAUCAAACACUGGCUGGACUCUCCCUGGCCCGGUUUCUUCAACGUGGACGGCCAGCCUAAGAGUAUGACCAGUCUGUCUACAGGCCUGCCUGAGGAGGAGCUGGUACACAUAGGAUACAUCGCUUCAUCUGUCCCUGUGGAAGACUUCACCAUACACAGAGUCACAGGCACCAUGUCCUGCAUGACCAGAAGAUUGAUAGGAGGAUCUGUAUCCCCAUGAACCACAUCUCUCCUAACCAGGCUCCAUACACCGUCUGUAACAGCUCUCUGUCGGAGUAUGGCGUACUGGGAUUUGAGCUGGGUUUUGCCUUGGCUAGUCCCAAUGCAUUGGUUCUAUGGGAGGCCCAGUUUGGAGACUUCCACAACACAGCCCAGUGUAUUAUAGACCAGUUCAUCUGCCCAGGACAGGCCAAGUGGGGCAGACAGAACGGAAUAGUCCUGCUGCUGCCCCACGGCAUGGAGGGAAUGGGACCAGAGCACUCCUCGGCCCGACCAGAGAGGUUCCUGCAGAUGUGUAACGAAGACCCAGAUACCUACCCUAUAUUCUCUGCUGAGGAGUUUGCAGUGCGUCAGCUGUAUGACUGUAACUGGAUCAUAGUCAACUGCUCUACACCGGCUAACUACUUCCACGUCCUCCGUAGACAAAUACUACAGGCCUUCAGGAAGCCUCUGAUAGUCAUUACCCCCAAGUCUCUGCUGCGCCACCCAGAGGCCAAGUCAAGCUUUGAUGACAUGCUGCCAGGUACCCACUUCCAGCGUCUGAUCCCAGACAGUGGUCCUGUGUGUGAGAACCCAGAGGCGGUGAAGAGGAUUGUGUUCUGUACUGGGAAGGUCUACUAUGAACUGACCCGAGAACGCAACAACAGAGGCAAUGAUGAUACUGUGGCCAUUGUGCGCAUAGAGCAGCUCUCUCCGUUUCCGUUUGACCAGGUGAAAGUGGAGACAGAUCGUUAUCCUAAUGCUGACCUGGUGUGGUGCCAGGAAGAACACAAGAACCAGGGUUACUAUGACUAUGUCAAACCCCGCCUACGAACCACCGUUGACCGCACCCGCCCCGUUUGGUAUGCUGGUCGUGGGCCAGCAGCAGCUCCAGCUACAGGGAACAAAGCAGCUCACCUGGUGGAAUUACAACGCUUCCUAGAUACAGCUUUUAACCUGGACGCAUUUACUGAACAGUCCUAACACACUUAUACACUACACCCUAACCCCAAUACCCUACACCUUAACCUUACCUCACCUGGUGGAGUUACAACACUUCCUAGAUACAGCUUUUAACCUGGACACUUACACUUGAAAGUCUUAGAAGACUGAUACCCUACACCCAAUGUACUACACCCUACUCAAUACACCCUUAUACCCUAGGCCUCCACUCCACUCUACCUGCUGGAGUUAUACGCUUUUUAACUAGAUGCAUAUACUUGAAAGUCUUAACACAGGGAUAUCCUGAUCCCUAGACCCUGGCUACACCCUACCCUUACCUCACUCUGCUGAAGUUACACUGCUUUUUAGUCAGGUUCACCUGGAUGCAUACACUUGAGUUUUAGCUCACCGUUACGCUCGUCGUCGGAUGAUAAAUGACCGGACCAAGGUGCAGCGUGGUAGGCGUACAUUCUCUCUUUAUUUGAAAACAUAACACCGGGAAAAAACAAUGCACACAAACCGAACGUAAAGCUAGUCAUGCAUAAACAAAGACAAGAUCCCACAACAAGGUGGGAAAAAGGGCUGCCUAAGUAUGAUCCCCAAUCAGAGACAACAAUAGACCGCUGCCUCUGAUUGGGAACCAUACCCGGCCAACAAAGAUAUAUACAAACUAGAAUGCCCACCCAAAUCACACCCUGACCUAACCAAAUAGAGAAAUAAAAAAAGUCUCUCUAAGGUCAGGGUGUGACACUCACUUAAACCCUACACCCUAACCCUUAUCCCUAAACCAGCAUACACUGGAUCGUCUGCUAUAGAAGACUUCCGCGAUACGCACACUGACUAACCAUAGGUCCUCUUGAACUGUUGAAUCAUGGGGGAAAUGUCCAUGGAGUCAGACAAACAAUGGACCCAUUUUAUCAACCAUACAAAUACUUUUGUACAUUUUUCUCUCUCUCCAUCUCUCCCUUCUCAUUCUCUUUCUUCUCCAUCCCUCUAUUCAUCGGUCUUUUCACCCUCCUUCCUUUAUUCUCCCCACUCAUCCCCUUCUCUUUUUUCUCUCCUCUUGACCAAUCACUCUCUCCCUCUGUUUUCUCCUCCUCUCUUCUCCUCCCUCUCUUCCACCUCCUGUGCCAAAUGUAAACAAGCUGUUAAGAGAUUACUGGAUGAGAAAUGACUAGUAUAUUAUUAUACUAUUACAUUAUUAUACUAUUAUAUUAUUAUAUUAUAUCAAACAUUGUAUAAGAUACAGUAGUAACUUAUGAAGAGACGAGGUGAAAAUGUCUACUGGUCUGGUGGGGAUCUCUUUGGAACUAAAUAAAGGAUUUAUUUAUGUUAGUAUAGUGUUUUAUGUUUGUCCUUUUAUAAUUUAUUCAUUCAAUAAAGACAUGACAUUGUCUGUUUUCAACGUGA